rnacentral:rRNA from 1 species
AUUGAACGCUGGCGGUAUGCUUUACACAUGCAAGUCGAACGGCAGCACGGGGCAACCUGGUGGCGAGUGGCGAACGGGUGAGUAACAUAUCGGAACAUGUCCGGAAGUGGGGGAUAACGUACCGAAAGGUACGCUAAUACCGCAUAUGCCCUGAGGGGGAAAGGGGGGGAUCGCAAGACCUCUCGCUUUCGGAGUGGCCGAUAUCGGAUUAGCUAGUAGGUGGGGUAAAGGCUCACCUAGGCGACGAUCCGUAGCUGGUCUGAGAGGACGACCAGCCACACUGGAACUGAGACACGGUCCAGACUCCUACGGGAGGCAGCAGUGGGGAAUUUUGGACAAUGGGGGAAACCCUGAUCCAGCAAUGCCGCGUGUGUGAAGAAGGCCUUCGGGUUGUAAAGCACUUUCAGUGGGGAGGAAGGGUGUGAUGCUAAUAUCAUCAUGCAUUGACGUUGCCCACAGAAGAAGCACCGGCUAACUCUGUGCCAGCCGCCGCAGUAA